rnacentral:rRNA from 1 species
GACGAACGCUGGCGGCGUGCUUAACACAUGCAAGUCGAACGGAAAGGCCCUGCUUGCAGGGUGCUCGAGUGGCGAACGGGUGAGUAACACGUGGGUGAUCUGCCCCUGACUUUGGGAUAAGCCUGGGAACCUGGGUCUAAUACCGGAUAUGACCUCCGCCUGCAUGGGUGGUGGUGGAAAGCUUUUGCGGUUGGGGAUGGGCCCGCGGCCUAUCAGCUUGUUGGUGGGGUAAUGGCCUACCAAGGCGACGACGGGUAGCCGACCUGAGAGGGUGAUCGGCCACACUGGGACUGAGACACGGCCCAGACUCCUACGGGAGGCAGCAGUGGGGAAUAUUGCACAAUGGGCGCAAGCCUGAUGCAGCGACGCCGCGUGAGGGAUGACGGCCUUCGGGUUGUAAACCUCUUUCACCAGGGACGAAGCGUGAGUGACGGUACCUGGAGAAGAAGCACCGGCCAACUACGUGCCAGCAGCCGCCGUAAUAC